rnacentral:lncRNA from 1 species
UAUGAACUCACCUUGUGUGAUUUCAGUAGAUAAGUGUUGAAGAAGAGAAGUGUUCAACCCAAGAACACUUGAAGAAUCGCUUGAAGAUUCGAAGCUCUAACACAAAUAUAAUGGAGUUUGUGUAAGAUAUCCAUGAUUUGAGUGGAAAUGAUUGAGAUAAUCAUAAAGGAAAUGGAUUAUGCUUACCAAAUGUGGAGGAAAACUCAAGAUCAGCCCUUGAAUCUCAGAUUUCUAGAGAGAGAAAGUGAGAGAGAAAGGAGUUUGAUUUUCUUGUGAAAUGAGAACAAAUGAGAGAAGAUGAGGAGAGAGGAUGAAUAUCCAGCUCUCAAAACGUGGAUAUGGCUUGUGAGGGAGGUAAAAAGUACAAGGAAGUGACAAGGUAUGGUGGGGAGGAGUGUGGGUUAAUCAUGGAGUGGGUAUGGGGUUGCUUAUGUCAUAAAAUAAGGUAAAGUCAACACUCUACCUUUGUACUUUACCUACUCUUAUUUGGAUAAGAUUUUACCCUUAAAAUAUGAUUAAAUCAUUAAUUUAGGGGUCUUAUAUUUUAAAAUAAAGUUUUGGUGAAAAUCCCAUGUUAAAACAAUUAAAAACGGGUCUUAAACGCAAAAUUACGCGAAAACGGGGUGAAAAAUGAGUUUUCCAGCGAGAUUCUUCGGACCUAGGCCGAGGUUCGGUCCCUAGGCCGAAGUUCGGUCAGAUGGGUGCACGGUUCGGACGCGAGAGGCGCGAGCCAGAAGGAAGAAGCGAAGCGAGAAUGGAUCUGAGGCUCGGUCCGAAGAGAAGCGAAGUCCGGCGGUUCGGUCCGAAGGGAAGCUAGAACCGAAGGAACUGUUGUGAACAGUAAUGAACAGUACCUUCGGGUUCGGUUCUUCCUCUUAUGCGAUGUUCGGUUCGGAUGAACAGUAGUCUCGGUUCGGACCUUCAUGAAUAGUACUUUCGGUUCGGUUCAUGAAUAGUACUUUCGGUUCGGAGGGUUCGUUUCCUUAAGUCCGUUUUUCGCGUAGACUUCCGUUUUUGGGCUAUUUUCGCCAAAUUCGGGGGUCGGAAUGCCCCGAGUGAUUAUAGAAAGUUGGGGAGAGAUUUCGAGAGAGAUUUGAGAGAGAUUCCACAUACUCAGAGAGAUUUGGGAGAGAUUUGACAUACUUGGGGAGAUUUCUCAUACAAAGAGAGAUUUGGGAGAGAUUUCACAUACUUAGGGAGAUUUGGGAGAGAUUUGACAUACUUGGAGAGAUUUCACAUACAGAGAGAGAUUUGGGAGAGAUUUCACAUACUUAGGGAGAUUUGGGAGAGAUUUGACAUACUUGGAGAGAUUUCACAUACAGAGAGAUAUUUGGGAGAGAUUUCACAUACUUAGAGAGAUUUGGGAGAGAUUUGACAUACUUGGAGAGAUUUCACAUACAGAGAGAUAUUUGGGAGAGAUUUCACAUACUUAGGGAGAUUUGGGAGAGAUUUGACAUACUUGGAGAGAUUUCACAUACAGAGAGAUAUUUGGGAGAGAUUUCACAUACUUAGGGAGAUUUGGGAGAGAUUUGACAUACUUGGAGAGAUUUCACAUACAGAGAGAUAUUUGGGAGAGAUUUCACAUACUUAGAGAGAUUUGGGAGAGAUUUGACAUACUUGGAGAGAUUUCACAUACAAAGAGAUAUUUGGGAGAGAUUUCACAUACUUAGAGAGAUUUGGGAGAGAUUUGACAUACUUGGAGAGAUUUCACAUACAAAGAGAUAUGUGGGAGAGAUUUCACAUACUUAGAGAGAUUUGGGAGAGAUUUGACAUACUUGGAGAGAUUUCACAUACAAAGAGAUAUGUGGGAGAGAUUUCACAUACUUAGAGAGAUUUGGGAGAGAUUUGACAUACUUGGAGAGAUUUCACAUACAAAGAGAUAUGUGGGAGAGAUUUCACAUACUUAGAGAUAUGUGGGAGAGGUUUCACAUACUUAGAGAUAUGUGGGAGAGGUUUCACAUACUUAGAGAUAUGUGGGAGAGAUUUCAUUGGUGACCUUUUUGAGUGUCCGGCUACGCACUGCAAGGUCCUUAAACCCCGUUAAGCCUUGAUUAGGGAUCUUGCAUACUCCCGAUGAGUAUGUAACAUUGUUUUAUCGGUUUGGCUCUCCACGUACCACCGUUUUAGGUUAAGGAGAUCUAGGUGAACGCACUUUUCGAUUUAUGAUCUCUCAUUAGAAUAGAGAGUUGUUUAGAAGUUACAUAACGUAAACUCUAGUACUCACGGCAAAUUGAGUUGACCGGUUUGACUUGUUGACUUUAGUUG